GAUGAACGCUGGCGGCGUGCCUAAUACAUGCAAGUCGAACGCUGGUCUAUUUUAGCUUGCUAGAAUAGACUGGAGUGGCGAACGGGUGAGUAACACGUGGACAACCUGCCUCACAGUAGGGGAUAACAUUUGGAAACAGAUGCUAAUACCGUAUAAGAGUUGUUAUCGCAUGAUAACGACUUAAAAGGAGCUUCGGCUUCGCUGAGAGAUGGGUCCGCGCUGCAUUAGUUAGUUGGUGAGGUAAAGGCUUACCAAGACGAUGAUGCAUAGCCGAGUUGAGAGACUGAUCGGCCACAUUGGGACUGAGACACGGCCCAAACUCCUACGGGAGGCUGCAGUAGGGAAUUUUCCACAAUGGACGGAAGUCUGAUGGAGCAACGCCGCGUGUGCGAAGAAGGUUUUCGGAUUGUAAAGCACUGUUGUAUAGGAAGAAUAAGGUAAACAGGGAAUGGUUUACUGAUGACGGUACUAUACGAGGAAGUCACGGCUAACUACGUGCCAGCCGCCGCAGUAAAAC
rnacentral:rRNA from 1 species